rnacentral:rRNA from 1 species
GAUGGACCCGCGUCUGAUUAGCUAGUUGGUGGGGUAACGGCCUACCAAGGCGACGAUCAGUAGCCGGCCUGAGAGGGUGACCGGCCACAUUGGGACUGAGACACGGCCCAAACUCCUACGGGAGGCAGCAGUGGGGAAUAUUGCACAAUGGGGGAAACCCUGAUGCAGCGACGCCGCGUGAGUGAAGAAGUAUUUCGGUAUGUAAAGCUCUAUCAGCAGGGAAGAAGCAAGACGGUACCUGACUAAGAAGCCCCGGCUAACUACGUGCCAGCAGCCGCGGUAAUACGUAGGGGGCAAGCGUUAUCCGGAUUUACUGGGUGUAAAGGGAGCGUAGACGGUAUGGCAAGUCUGAAGUGAAAGCCCAGGGCUUAACCCUGGGACUGCUUUGGAAACUGUUAGACUAGAGUGCUGGAGAGGUAAGUGGAAUUCCUAGUGUAGCGGUGAAAUGCGUAGAUAUUAGGAGGAACACCAGUGGCGAAGGCGGCUUACUGGACAGUAACUGACGUUGAGGCUCGAAAGCGUGGGGAGCAAACAGGAUUAGAUACCCUGGUAGUCCACGCUGUAAACGAUGAAUACUAGGUGUUGGCGGGCAAAGCCCGUCG